CAGAUACUGACACUCAGAUGCGAAAGCGUGGGGAGCAAACAGGAUUAGAUACCCUGGUAGUCCACGCCGUAAACGAUGUCUACUUGGAGGUUGUGGCCUUGAGCCGUGGCUUUCGGAGCUAACGCGUUAAGUAGACCGCCUGGGGAGUACGGUCGCAAGAUUAAAACUCAAAUGAAUUGACGGGGGCCCGCACAAGCGGUGGAGCAUGUGGUUUAAUUCGAUGCAACGCGAAGAACCUUACCUACUCUUGACAUCCAGAGAACUUUCCAGAGAUGGAUUGGUGCCUUCGGGAACUCUGAGACAGGUGCUGCAUGGCUGUCGUCAGCUCGUGUUGUGAAAUGUUGGGUUAAGUCCCGCAACGAGCGCAACCCUUAUCCUUGUUUGCCAGCGAGUAAUGUCGGGAACUCCAGGGAGACUGCCGGUGAUAAACCGGAGGAAGGUGGGGACGACGUCAAGUCAUCAUGGCCCUUACGAGUAGGGCUACACACGUGCUACAAUGGCGCAUACAGAGGGCAGCCAACUUGCGAAAGUGAGCGAAUCCCAAAAAGUGCGUCGUAGUCCGGAUUGGAGUCUGCAACUCGACUCCAUGAAGUCGGAAUCGCUAGUAAUCGUGGAUCAGAAUGCCACGGUGAAUACGUUCCCGGGCCUUGUACACACCGCCCGUCACACCAUGGGAGUGGGCUGCAAAAGAAGUAGGUAGUUUAACCUUCGGGGGGACGCUUACCACUUUGUGGUUCAUGACUGGGGUGAAGUCGUAACAAGGUAGCGCUAGGGGAACCUGGCGCUGGAUCACCUCCUUAAACGAUGAUUACUCACGAUGAGUGUCCACACAGAUUGAUACGGUUUAUAAAGUAAAGAGAAGAAGAGUUCCCAAACUCUUCAAUCCAGUGUCCCGUUCGUCUAGAGGCCUAGGACACCGCCCUUUCACGGCGGUAACAGGGGUUCGACUCCCCUACGGGAUACCAUUGGGUCGUUAGCUCAGUUGGUAGAGCAGUUGACUUUUAAUCAAUUGGUCGCAGGUUCGAAUCCUGCACGACCCACCAUUCCUUCCAUUAGGAAUUAAAACUCAAAAUAUGGGGCUAUAGCUCAGCUGGGAGAGCGCCUGCCUUGCACGCAGGAGGUCUGCGGUUCGAUCCCGCAUAGCUCCACCAUAUUUUGACACAAUGGGCGAUUAGCUCAGUUGGGAGAGCACCUGCCUUACAAGCAGGGGGUCACUGGUUCGAGCCCGGUAUCGCCCACCAUCUUUAAGCGCAUUCGAUGAGUGCUUUUAAAAAUGGUUACUUCACUAGAAGUGAUUAGCUCUUUAACAAUUUGGAAAGCUGACAAAACAACAAUUUAUUGUUGUUUGUAAAGUUCUCAAUGUUUGUCUUUAAGACAAACACCAAAAUAACACAUUCAAGUGUUCUUGGAAUUUGAGUCCGGCAAAAUCGAGUCUGCAUCAUGUAUAAAAAUUGCAGACAACUUUGGUGACUUGUUCAUCAACUCGAAACUCCUUCGGGUUGUAUGGUUAAGUGACUAAGCGUACACGGUGGAUGC
rnacentral:rRNA from 1 species